rnacentral:lncRNA from 1 species
CGUUUCUGCGUAUAACCUGUAUAAAUCACACUUUCUGGGCCCUCCAGGUGUGUUUGCAGCUCAUGGGAAGCACCCACACACGUUUGCACCGGGACUCGAGGGGAGCACCGUAGGAAAUGUGACCCACGGCUGCACCUCGGGAUGGGGCACAUCGAGGGCUUCAAUGGACCGGUGCUGCCGGCUCCGUGCCUGCUGCUACGCCAGGCUGGCGGCACGGCGCUGCCGCGUGGGACCCGUCCAGCCCUUCUCUGUGCCCCGGGCAGGAGUGCCCACCUGCAGGACCGGGACCUGGUGCCAGAGGGGCGCAUGCCGGUGCGAGCGGGCAGCCCUGCUCUGCCGCAUGCGCCGCCGGUGGCAGCUCCGGCGCCGCGCCAAGUGCCGGGGGCAAGGCGGGCGGUGUUGAAGCCAAAGGGCUCCUUGC